CGUCUGAGUUUCAUGUAUGAUGUUGCGUACUACAAGCGUUCUGAAGCAUGUACCACCGACACUUGGUGCACGGAAGUCGAGGAGCAUGUGCCUUAAAAGUAAGACGAGGCCGGUUAUAAACGUUGAGGAUGCCAAGAUUUAAAAAGAAAGCGUUGCUAAGUGUGUACCGCUCUA